rnacentral:rRNA from 1 species
GUGGGGAAUAUUGGGCAAUGGGCGCAAGCCUGACCCAGCGACGCCGCGUGGGGGAAGAAGUCUUUCGGGACGUAAACCCAUGUUGUACGGGACGAAGGAAGUGACGGUACCGUACGAGGAAGCCCCGGCAAACUACGUGCCAGCAGCCGCGGUAAUACGUAGGGGGCGAGCGUUGUCCGGAAUCACUGGGCGUAAAGCGCACGUAGGCGGGCUGUUAAGUCGGCCGUGAAAUACACUGGCUCAACCGGUGCAGGUCGGUCGAUACUGGCGGUCUGGAGUAUGGGAGAGGGAACUGGAAUUCCGGUGUAGCGGUGAAAUGCGUAGAUAUCGGGAGGAACACCAGUGGCGAAGGCGGGUUCCUGGCCCAUGACUGACGCUGAGGUGCGAAAGCCGGGGGAGCGAACGGGAUUAGAAACCCCGGUAGUCC